rnacentral:rRNA from 1 species
AUGGCGAAGUCUUGCCGAAAAGCAACAGACUUCUUUGGAAUUAUACAACGCAUCUAUACGAUAUUUGCUAAUUCGACUAAACGAUGGCAAAUUCUCAAAGAUAACUUAAAGAAGUUGACUGUCAAGUCAUUGUCAUCUACUCGUUGGGAGAGUCAUGUUGAGAGUGUUAAGGCUAUACGGAUUCAAAUGCCAGAAAUAAGGGAGGCUUUACUACAAGUGGCUGAAACUGAUAAGGAUCCAUUGGCAAGUAGUGAAGCACAAUCAUUGGCAGAAAAUGAACUUGGUGGUUUUGAAUUUUUAGUGUCAAUAAUUAUCUAG